GAUGAACGCUGGCGGCGUGCCUAAUACAUGCAAGUCGAGCGAACAGACGAGGAGCUUGCUCCUCUGACGUUAGCGGCGGACGGGUGAGUAACACGUGGAUAACCUACCUAUAAGACUGGGAUAACUUCGGGAAACCGGAGCUAAUACCGGAUAAUAUAUUGAACCGCGUGGUUCAAUAGUGAAAGACGGUUUUGCUGUCACUUAUAGAUGGAUCCGCGCUGCAUUAGCUAGUUGGUAAGGUAACGGCUUACCAAGGCAACGAUGCGUAGCCGACGUGAGAGGGUGAUCGGCCACACUGGAACUGAGACACGGUCCAGACUCCUACGGGAGGGAGCAGUAGGGAAUCUUCCGCAAUGGUCGAAAGCCUGACGGAGCAACGCCGCGUGAGUGAUGAAGGUCUUCGGAUCGUAAAACUCUGUUAUUAGGGAAGAACAAAUGUGGAAGGAACUAUGCACGUCGUGACGGUACCUAAUCAGAAAGCCACGGCUAACUACGUG
rnacentral:rRNA from 1 species